AAGGGAUUUUGAUUCGUUGAGGAAGAAGAAUUAGUCAGUGGAGAUUGGGGAGUUUGUUUAUAUGUUAACGUGGCUCUAUGCAUGAGUAUCGUCGCGGUUGGUGUGAUGCUUCUGCUGCGACACGUGUCGCUUUCGCCAUAGCUAAAAUGGGGAAAAGCGUCGAGUAAUUUUUAAUCAAUUGAUAUCGAUUAAUGGUUUGAUUAUUUAUUAAGGAAGUUGAAUUAAGUAAAAGUGGAGUUGAAGCCGCCGCCGUCAUGAUCAUUUCCGGCAAACGGCGGGUAAAAGAAGUACAGGAUGAGCUGCAGGAUGCCUAGUGGGCUACCAACAAGAUUCGGAGACUGUAAAACAGACCACAGUUCGAAAAGUUUGUUAUCUAAAUCAGCCAUUUCCCUUACAAAAAAUAGACCUUAUGAUCACACUAACCGCAAGAAAAAGAUCAUGGCUUAAUAGUCCAUACGCCAUCCAAAGAGAGCUCGCUAGAAACGAGAAGAGUGACAGAAAUCUUUUAACAAGAAUAUGAACGUUCCCAUUGACAAAAGUAGUACUCACCAUAGCCACCAGUGGAGAGCCAUACAUUGCUACAGAUGCUACCAGUCCUAUGCUUCCAACAAACGCCUUUCGAUGCUGGUGAUCGUGGAAUGCAAAUGCUGAUAGUAGCACAACUGAACUGGACAGCAGGAGAACAGCAUCUCUUGGUAAUAAAAGGACAGGAAAGAGACUAAACCAGGAAAAUGCAUGAAAGAAUAAGUUGCCAGGUUCUCUUGCAAGUGGAAGAUGUUACAAGACUUCCACUGUCCACUUAUAACAACUGAGGUAAUCUUUUUUAUUCUAGUUUCCUGAUCUUUCUCUGAAUGGUGAAAACCAAAUAAGAAAACGGUACGAUUUCAUUUUGUAAGCUUUAUGUUCAUAGCCAACAGUAACAGCAUUUGGUAUCAAUAGUACUUUUUUUCUAAGGAUCAUCAUAAACUUGCAAUCAUAGAAGUAUUGUUUGUAUAAUUGUAUCGCAACUUUUCUAGGUAAUCUUUGUUACAUUCUUGUGCUGUUUAACUACUCAAAAUACUUCCUUAUGAAAAGAUUUUUGCACUACACAAAAGGCCACUUUUAUGAUCAUUGGUGUUAAAAUUCUAAUAUCUUGUCCCACAUCGGCUUGGUGAUGAUCCAAUCUAAUCUAUAUAAGUGUGGAUAACCCUCUCCUUUAUGAGGCCUUUUAAGGGGUGAGUGGCUCAUUUCUAAUAAUUGGUGAUCUCACAUUUUCUGUGUUGUCUUCCAUUGUUUCUGCUAUCCACUAAACACAAUGGGAACUUAAUACCUUAUUCUACACUAAGUGGAUGCCAUUACUUCCACCUUAUUAUCCUAAUAAACUUGUUUUGGAUGAUGCUUGCUGUGAUGUAUCAUAACAUUUAUCGAUAUUCACCACACUAGGGACACACAAAAAUUUGGUUCUAAUCACAAAUCUCAUCAAUCAAUGGCUCAAAACACUCAACAUAUUCUCAAAUUUGACUGUCAUGGUGCAUGUUGUUUAGAAACAUUCUCUUUAGACUAUUUGCUAAAGAAUGCUGGAUAUGCUGAUGCUUGAAAUUUGCACGUUGGCUAUGUUUUUUUUUUUUUUUUUUCAUCUGCAUUCAAUAUAUAUGAGAUAUUAAUAUUAUGCUCUAUUAGUGAUUCAAGAAUAUGCUUAUCCCCUAUGUUUGUUCUAUUCAACUAGAUUACUAACUUUCCAAUUGGUUUAAUUUAUUAGACAGCUAUGUGCCAAAGGAUACCAAAUCAUCUUUUUAUUAUCUGCCUUUUCUUUCUUUGAGAUGGGAUGCGAAACUUUUUAAUUGUUAGUUAUGUAUUCUUGGAGUUGUAUUUCA